AACCACACGGAAGAGCCAAAAAGUACUAUUGAGGAAUACAAACGCAAAAGCAGCAGCAGUAACAACAACAGAAAACAGUUUUGUUAGAUAAAUGGCCUUGGGCAAAAGUCUUUAUAACUGCAAUCACAUAAGUUAGUGGAAACAGUGUCAGGCUUUCCCAGAUGGAAACAAUUAGUGAGGUAAAAUUUUAGUGCUGUUUAAAUGAAUGCGUUGUGUUUGUUAUUCAUUUAAAAAUAUGAACAUAAAGUUAUGACUCAUGACAAACUGGCAAGAGAGUUGAUAACACAGAUCUGUCCAAAUAUGAGGGAAACUAUAUUCCUUUGUAGGCCUACUGUGUAGCAUUAAUAGAAUUAUUCACCCAGUGUUUAUUCACAAGAUUGACCGAAGCUUAUUUAGAUGACCAAAUUAUGAACAUUGUGACCCACCCUGAGGCUGUAAGAGUGUGCCUGAUGAGAGAAUGCGUACUUGAAGCAGUUAUAGGACUUAAUAUAUUCAAGAAGACCAAGCGAUCCUUAUAGGACUACAUGCAAAGCAAUGUACUCCAGACCGCACAACUGGACAUACAGAUUGUGCCCUGAUGCCAUCUGCCCCGUUCUCCCAGCCUCAUCUUCCCUCUCUAUGCCUAGCUUCACAUUGGUUGGCUCUUCUUUGGCUCUCUUCAUCCCAUCUGCCUGCCUCGCUGCUCUCCCUGAUAACAUUUCCUGACUGAUGCCUUGCACUCUGACUCUUUCUGCAAGGUGCCAUUCUGAGCAGUGACUCAAUUUAGUGCCACCCUGCUGCUUGGCAUUGCACUUCUGAGGUCAUCACCAUCUUUCUUCAGCCAACCAAAAUGAUUCUCACCAACCACCCCAGCUCUGCUAAGCUUGAUGUUGGAGGUCUGCUGUUUUUGAAGCAGGGGACCACUGUCCAUUAAAGGCUUCAUAAACCAUUUAACAAAAUCACAUAAGAUAGGGUAGUUCAUACUCCAUGCGAUGUGCCAUACAAUGGAAGGGCCAUGUUCCUUAUCACAUCUGGAUACUGCAAAGCUCCUGUCAUCUCAACAAUUUACGAACUAAUCAAUUAUUAAAUGAAGAAAUGCUAUGUAAAAGCAAAGAUAUUUCUUCCUGUGGAAUUUGAGUCUUAAAUUUAGUAAUUACUGUUUUAUGGCAUAAAUAAAAGUUAAAUAUUAUAUUAUUUUAAAAGCAUCAUGUAUCUUUUUUCAUUCCUAAUGUAUUCUACUAGUAGUGUGUCAGGCACUUUAACCCUUAUGAAAAAAGCCAAGGAAAAUAGAG